CUAAUCAAACAAUUGAGGAUACCUAACCCUAAAAUCUGAUUCUAACUCCCAGGUGGUCUCAUCUUGCGAGUGAUUUUGUCAUAGAACCUUGAUAAAAAGAAUUUUUCUAUUGCGAAACACCCUACUCCUUUGGUUCAAAAUGCUGACAGGUAUCUCCUCAUAAGAUAAAUCCUCCUGAAGUAGAAAUGACUUGUAAGACAAAACAUGCGAAGGGUCAGGGUUAUAUUUACGCAAUAUUGACACAUGAAAGAUAUUAUGGACU
rnacentral:lncRNA from 1 species